UCCCAACUGCUGAGAGGGAUAGCUCACUUGGUAGAGCAUGAGACUCUUAAAUCACAGGGUCAUAUGUUCAAGCCACAUGUUGGGCA